CGGGACGGGUGAGUAAUGUCUGGGAAACGUGCCUGAUGGAGGGGGAUAACUACUGGAAACGGUAGCUAAUACCGCAUAACGUCGCAAGACCAAAGAGGGGGGACUUCGGGCCUCUUGCCAUCGGAUGUGCCCAGAUGGGAUUAGCUAGUAGGUGGGGUAAAGGCUCACCUAGGCGACGAUCCCUAGCUGGUCUGAGAGGAUGACCAGCCACACUGGAACUGAGACACGGUCCAG
rnacentral:rRNA from 1 species